AAGAAUUAAACGAAGAAGAUAGAAAGAUAGAAAUUGUAAAAGAAACUAUGAAAUGUAUAAGAUGUAAUUGGCUAAUACAUUUGAUAGUGAGCUCUUGAUAGCUAUUUAUACACACUCAGCAGGGAGGUUAUACACAUUCAGUAGGGAGGACUUUUCUCAACUACUUAGAGAUUUCCUCAACUGCCUUGAGGAAAUCUUAUCUACUUAUCAUGCCCCCGCAAGAUUGAGCUUCCAUCAAGGAUGCCGAUCUUGGACCGAUGAGAUGAAAAUGGUUUCCGAGCGAGAGGCUUUGUGAGUGAGUCUGCUAGUUGAUCAGUUGUAUGUACGUGAGAAACACGGAGUUGAUGUCUGACAACUUGAUCUCGCACGAAGGGGAAGUCGAUGGCAAUGUGUUUCAUGUGGGAAUGGAACACUAGAUUGGCACAUAAGUAGGUAGCGCCAAUAUUGUCACAAUAUAUUGUAGGAAUAACCGUGGAGUUGACGUUGAGUUCCUUGAGCAGAUUUGUGACCCAAUUGAGUUCAGCAACGGUGGUGGCGAUGGCACGGUAUUCAGCUUCAGUUGUAGAUCGUGCAACCGUCUUUUGUUAUUUAGAACUCAACUGAUUGGAGUGGCUCCAAGGAAGACAAUGUAUCCUGACAUAGAUGUUCUAUCAUCAAAGUUCCCUGCCCAAUCAGCAUCAGCAAAGGCAUGGAGAUGGAGCGAAGUAUUUUUGCGAAGAAAAAUGCCAUAAUUAAGAGUCCCUUUAAGAUACCGCAAAAUUCGUUUGACCGCAGACCAAUGCAUAGUAGAUGGUCGAUGCAUGAAUUGUGAUAAUUUAUUGACGGCAAAUGAAAUAUCUGGACGCGUGAGAGCCAAGUACUGUAAGGAGCCAAGGACUUGUCGAUAUUGAGUUGAAUCUGUAGCAGGACUUCCAUCACAUAAUUUAAGUGAUUCACUAGUAGAGAGAGGAGUUGUAACCUCUUUCGCAUCCUGCAUGUUUGUCUUUGAUAAUAAAUCUUGAAUAUACUUUCUUUGUGAUAGGAAGAGACCUGAAAAUGUAAAUGUUGCUUCCACUCCCAGAAAGUAGCUUAAAGUUCCUAGAUCUUUGAGGGAGAAGCGAUCGGCCAAGCGCUUUAGAAAUGCUUGAGUCUUCAAAGGAUCAUUUCCUGUGACAAUAAUAUCAUCCACAUAUACUAAAAGAUAUAUUAUGCUUCCAUUCUGCUGGCAAAUGAAUAACGAGGUAUCAGACUUGGAAUUGAUGAAGCCAAUUGAGGUCAAAAACGAGCCAAGCUCGUUAUACCAAGCCCUUGGAGCUUGACGAAGUCCAUAAAUAACUUUUUGAAGUUUGCAGACAUGCCUCAGAUAUUGAGGAUGAAUGAAACUAGGAGGUUGCUGCAUAAAGACAUCUUCAGUAAUUGACCCCUGUAAAAAGGCAUUGUUAACAUCCAAUUGUCGUAUGUGCCAGCCCUUUGAGAUGGCCAAACUCAAGAUAAGAUGGAUUGCUGUGGGUUUAACAAUGAGACUAAAUAUCUCUGUGAAGUCAACACCAGGUCAUUGAUGAAACCCUUUGGCGACUAGACGUGCUUUAUAUUUGGCAACGAAUUCGUUUGGGUUCCGCUUAAUUCGAAAGACCCAUUUACACCCGAUGAUAUUUUGUGUGUGAUGAAAGGGUACUAAGGUCCAUGUAGAGUUGUGGAGGAGAGCAUCAUAUUCGUCACACAUGGCUUUACGCCAAUGAGAAGAUUUUUGGGCUUGAGUGAUUGUAGUGGGUUCACUGGCCUCAGUGGAGGAACUUGUUAUAGCAUGUAACUCAAGGACCUGACGUGGUUUGAAAAUACCACUUUUGGAGCGUGUUGUCAUUGGAUGUCUAGGGGGAAUGGAAGUGGUAGAUUGUGUUGGUGGUAUAGCCGAGGGCGAGUCAUUGUCAUGGACCGGGCCAACCGUCGGCACAAUAAUAUCACUAGGUCUAGGAGAAGGUAAAGCCAGUGGUAAUAUUACCGAGGGUAUUACCUUAUUAAUAGGGGAAACUUAUGAGGAAGGAAGUGGAGAAAUAGAGGGAGUGAGAAGCUGUUGAACAGGAGUAAUAGUAGUAUGCGGAUCUUGAGGGUAAGGACUGGACUGUGUCAUUGGAGGUUUGUGUGAAGAGAUCGGAGGGAUAUUCCAGUGAUGUAUGUUUAUCAGAGUAGCUUGCAUGGUAGGAUUAUUUUGAAAAGGAAAGACAGACUCCUCAAAAAUAACAUGACGUGAUAUAAAGAUUUUUUUAGUUUGGGGUUCAUAACAUCGAAAAGCAUUAUGUUCAAGGGAGUAGCCUAUAAAAGUGCAAGGCUUAGAUCGUGGUGUUAGCUUAUGUGACGCAUAGGGACGGAGCCAUGGAUAACAUAAACAGCUAAAAACUUUGAGUUUAUGAAGGUUUGGAAGCUUGUGGAAUAAUUUUUCAAAUGGUGACUGGUAUUGUAAGACUGGAGUAAGCAUACGAUUAAUGAGAUAAACUACAGUUUGAAAGGCUACUGACCAAAAAGGUGGUGGCAUGGACGCUUGAUGUAGAAGGGAGAAACCAGUUUCAACAAUAUGCUGAUGUUUGUGUUUGGCAGAGCCAACCAAUUGGGGAGUAUGUGGAGGUGACUUGAGGUGUUGUAUACCACAAGCAGAGAGACAAGAUGUGAGGGCUUGAUAUUCGCCUCUGCCAUCAGAGUAAACCGUUUUAAUGGAAGAUUGAAAAAAAAUUUUGACCAACUUUCGAAAGUUGGUAAAUACUAUGGAAACAUCAGACUUGUGGUGGAGAGGAUAUAACCAUGUGUACUUAGUAAAAUAAUCUACAAAAAUGACAUAAAAAUGAAACUUGUCAAAAGAAGGAAUUGGGGCAGGGCCCCAUACGUCAGUAUAAAUGAUUUCAAAUGGUUUAGAGCAAGAAAUAGAGGUUGUCCCAAAAGGCAGUUUAUGACUUUUAUUGCAAAGACAAGCAUCGCAAUGACUGAUAGUGCCAUUGAUUUUCAAGGUAGGAAGAGAAUAACGAGAAAGUAAUUUUUGCUGGAUAAAAGGGGAGGGAUGACCAAGACGACGAUGCCAUACAUCAACCGGAGCUGCGACUGAAGAGUGAGUAGUAGGAAGGGUAAUUUACGAAGCGGAUGGCCACUCAUAAAUGUUAUCUUUGUUCUGGCCCUGAACCAAGGAUGCCCCCGUGCUCAAAUCCUUGACAAAAAAAAAGUUAGGAAAGAAUUCAAUUGAGGUAUUAUUUUGUUUACAGAAUUGAGAAACAGAAAUGAGGUUUCUUUUAAUAUUAGGUGCACACAGAACAUCAUCGAGUGUAAAAGUUGUGGUAAGUGAACUAAGCGUUGAGGAACCAGAAUGAGUAAUAGGAAUUCUUUUACCGUCACCGAUGAUGAUAUCUUCAUUUCCAUCAUAGUUGUUGUGGAUGGACAAGUUUUGAAGAUCAGAGGUGAUGUGAUGAGAGGCGCCCGAGUCCACAAUCCAAUUAGGUUGGGUAGGAGUUGGAGUAGCCAUGAAAUUCGCCUGAGGCCACUGUGAUGGAGCAGGGAGCCUGGGGCGAGAUCGACAAACUUUCGUAGAGUGUCCGACUUUAUCACAUAGUUGGCAAACGACUCGUUGGUGGCUUAUGAAGUCAGGACGUGACGACCGAGGAUUAUGAAAGUUACCACCUUGAUAUGGAUGAGGGGGGUUUGGUUUGGGCGCCAUAGGGCUGGGAGGCAGCUUAGCCAGACCGUUGUUGACGUGCUUAUUGUACUAGUUGCUCUUCCUCUUGGAUUUUUAAUUGACCUGAGCUGUAAUAGGUGGUCCGGGCAACAUAUCAUCAUGCUUCAAAUAUGUCUCAUAGUCGAUCAACUUAUCAUAAAGUUCUUCGAAUGAUAUUGGUGAGUCGCGUGCCCGAAGAGCUGCUGCCAGUUCUUUGUACUCGCCUACUAGGCCAUUGAGGGUAUGGAUUAGGACUUCUUCAUCACUGAGAGAAUGACCUAUCAAAGCCAAGUCAUCGAUGAUAACUUUGAUAGUUUGUAGAUAAUCAGCAAUAGUACUUCCCUCUUGUUUUGUUUUCAUCAGAUUGGAGAGAAGUCCGAGCAUACGAGUACGUGAGUGAUUUGCCAAAGUUGUUUGUAACUUGCACCAUGCUUCUACAGUAGUCAUACAUGAGGAUAUCAGCGGGGCAACGGAUCCAGCAACGGAAGCUUGAAUAGCUUGGAGGAUGAGGCGAUCUUGACGUAACCAUAGUUUGUGGGUUGGAUUUGGCACUAGACUGGGUUCGCCUGGGAUAUUGACCAUGUCAGGUGGACACGGGAGAGAGCCAUCAAUGUAACCCAGGAGAUCAUAACCAAAUAGAAGAUUAGAAAGUUGUGCCCGCCAAGAUGCGUAGUUACCGCCUUUGGAUAAUUUGAAGGGAAUGAGUGCUGUAGCAUUGAUGAAAAGAAUAGAAGAUAAGAACAAUUAUUGAAGAAGCUUUAUUAAAAUAACUUUAGCUUGAAUACAUUAACAUGGUGAUAAGACUUUGAGAAGUACUCAGAAUUCCUGCAGAAACAGGGAUAGGAAUUAAGACUUUGAGAAGUACUCAGAAUUCCUGCAGAAAUAGGGAUAGGAAUAUCGGAAGGGGAAAAUGAAGACAUCCCAGAUAUUUUGUAGCGGUUUAAGUGAUAAGAUGUAAAGAUAUAGGAGGGAGAGAGGAGGAGAAAAGUAGAUCAAUGCGCUGUAGAGGAGGCUGCAGCGAUGAAGCUGCAGUGAUGAACUGCAGAGGAGGCUAUAGCGCGAUGCAGAAUGCAGGAGAGAUUGUUGCAGCGAGGUGGGAGAAAUCUCUGCAGCUUGCAGCGAUUUCUGCAGCGAUGCUGGAGAAAUCUGCAAGGUUGGAGAUAGUUGCAGUAAUGCAGUGUUGGAGUUUGGUGGCCGGAAGGGCGGCGGAGUUGUCAGCGGAAGACUUCGGUUGGCAAGGGAGCAGCAACCGGCGGUAGAAACAAAGGCUGUGACUAUGCUUCCUUUAGGAGUGUUGCCCACGGAUCUGAUAUUAGCAGCCGCAAGUGCUGCAGUAGGCUACAGUGAAUGGCUACGGCUGAGGGGCGGAGACGUCGCCACGAGAGGGAUGGUAGAGCGGCUGCGGUUGCGACCCAAGGGGAGGCAGUGGACUCCGGUCGGGAAGCAAUUGUGAGGAGUCAAACAGCGAGAAGAGGGCUUGCUCUAGGCAAAUUGCUCUGAUACCAUGAUAAGAAUUAAACGAAGAAGAUAGAAAGAUAGAAAUUAUAAAAGAAACUAUAAAAUGUAUAAGAUGUAAUUGGCUAAUACAUUUGAUAGUGAGCUCUUGAUAGCUAUUUAUACACACUCAGCAGGGAGGUUAUACACAUUCAGCAGGGAGGAUUUUUCUCAACUACUUAGAGAUUUCCUCAACUGCCUUGAGGAAAUCUUAUCUACUUAUCA
rnacentral:lncRNA from 1 species